UGCCUUCCUUGGGUGGAUCCUGUGUGGCAUUAGGUUGUCGUGCAGGGGAUGCCCAUCGUUUACUGUGAAAAAAUUAGAGUGUUCAAAGCAGGCUUAUGCCGUUGAAUAUAUUAGCAUGGAAUAAUGAGAUAGGACUUUGGUACUAUUUUGUUGGUUUGCGCACCGAGGUAAUGAUUAAUAGGGACAGUUGUGGGUAUUCGUAUUCCAUUGUCAGAGGUGAAAUUCUUGGAUUUCUGGAAGACGAACGAAUGCGAAAGCAUUUACCAAGGAUGUUUUCAUUAAUCAAGAACGAAAGUUAGGGGAUCGAAGAUGAUUAGAUAC
rnacentral:rRNA from 1 species